rnacentral:rRNA from 1 species
UACGAAGGGGGCUAGCGUUGCUCGGAAUCACUGGGCGUAAAGGGUGCGUAGGCGGGUCUUUAAGUCAGGGGUGAAAUCCUGGAGCUCAACUCCAGAACUGCCUUUGAUACUGAAGAUCUUGAGUUCGGGAGAGGUGAGUGGAACUGCGAGUGUAGAGGUGAAAUUCGUAGAUAUUGGGAAGAACACCGGUGGCGAAGGCGGCUCUCUGGACCGAGACUGACGCUGAGGCGCGAAAGCGUGGGGGAGCAAACAGG